GACGAACGCUGGCGGCGUGCUUAACACAUGCAAGUCGAACGGAAAGGCCCCUUUGUGGGUACUCGAGUGGCGAACGGGUGAGUAACACGUGAGUAACCUGCCCUUGACUUCGGGAUAACUUCAGGAAACUGGGGCUAAUACCGGAUAGGAAUCCUUGCUGCAUGGUGGGGGUUGGAAAGCUUCGGCGGUUUUGGAUGGACUCGCGGCUUAUCAGCUUGUUGGUGGGGUAGUGGCUUACCAAGGCUUUGACGGGUAGCCGGCCUGAGAGGGCGACCGGCCACAUUGGGACUGAGAUACGGCCCAGACUCCUACGGGAGGCAGCAGUGGGGAAUAUUGCACAAUGGGCGGAAGCCUGAUGCAGCAACGCCGCGUGCGGGAUGACGGCCUUCGGGUUGUAAACCGCUUUCAGCAGGGGCGAAGCUUGUGGUGACGGUACCUGCAGAAGAAGCACCGGCUAACUACGUG
rnacentral:rRNA from 1 species